rnacentral:rRNA from 1 species
UGGGGAAUUUUGGACAAUGGGCGCAAGCCUGAUCCAGCCAUGCCGCGUGCGGGAAGAAGGCCUUCGGGUUGUAAACCGCUUUUGUCAGGGAAGAAAUCUUCUGAGUUAAUACCUCGGGAGGAUGACGGUACCUGAAGAAUAAGCACCGGCUAACUACGUGCCAGCAGCCGCGGUAAUACGUAGGGUGCAAGCGUUAAUCGGAAUUACUGGGCGUAAAGCGUGCGCAGGCGGUUUUGUAAGACAGGGGGGUUGAAAUCCCCCGGGCUCAACCUGGGAAACUGCCUUUGUGACUGCAAGGCUUGAGUGCGGCAGAAGGGGGGAUGGAAUUCCGCGUGUAGCAGUGAAAUGCGUAGAUAUGCGGAGGAACACCGAUGGCGAAAGGGCAAAUCCCCCCUGGGCCUGCACUGACGCUCAUGCACGAAAAGCGUGGGGAGCAAAACAGGGAUUAGAUACCCCUGGUAGUCCACG